UGGGGAAUAUUGCGCAAUGGGGGGAACCCUGACGCAGCCAUGCCGCGUGAAUGAAGAAGGCCUUAGGGUUGUAAAGUUCUUUCGGUAUUGAGGAAGGUUGAUGUGUUAAUAGCACAUCAAAUUGACGUUAAAUACAGAAGAAGCACCGGCUAACUCCGUGCCAGCAGCCGCGGUAAUACGGAGGGUGCGAGCGUUAAUCGAAAUAACUGGGCGUAAAGGGCACGCAGGCGGUUAUUUAAGUGAGGUGUGAAAGCCCCGGGCUUAACCUGGGAAUUGCAUUUCAGACUGGGUAACUAGAGUACUUUAGGGAGGGGUAGAAUUCCACGUGUAGCGGUGAAAUGCGUAGAGAUGUGGAGGAAUACCGAAGGCGAAGGCAGCCCCUUGGGAAUGUACUGACGCUCAUGUGCGAAAGCGUGGGGAGCAAACAGGAUUAGAUACCCUGGUAGUCCACGCUGUAAACGCUGUCGAUUUGGGGGUUGGGGUUUAACUCUGGCGCCCGUAGCUAACGUGAUAAAUCGACCGCCUGGGGAGUACGGCCGCAAGGUUA
rnacentral:rRNA from 1 species